rnacentral:snRNA from 1 species
GCUGGAGCUCGGACGCGAGUUC